rnacentral:rRNA from 1 species
UCCUUUUUCCAUUCCAAUAGCGGAGGAAAAGAAACUAACAAGGAUCCCCUUAGUAACGGCGAGUGAAGCGGGGUGAGCUCAAAUUUAAAAUCUGGCUGGUUUACUAGCCCGAGUUGUAGUUUACAGAAGCGUUUUCGAUGGCAGCCUGGGUAUAAAUCUCUUGGAAUAGGGUAUCAUAGAGGGUGAGAAUCCCGUCUUUGACUCAGUGCAUGCUAUUAUGUGAUACGUUUUCAAAGAGUCGAGUUGUUUGGGAAUGCAGCUCAAAAUGGGUGGUAAAUUUCAUCUAAGGCUAAAUAUUGGCGAGAGACCGAUAGCGAACAAGUACCGUGAGGGAAAGAUGAAAAGAACUUUGAAAAGAGAGUUAAACAGUGCGUGAAAUUGUUGAAAGGGAAACGUUUGACACCAGUCAUGCGGCUGGGAAAUCAGUUAAUUGAAGUGGGGAGUGAUAGGGGUUUGGACCGCAAGGCCAGCCUGUGUCUCAUCUCUGCUUUGGUUGAUGCACUUUCUCAUCGGCAGGUCAACAUCAGUUUCUCCCGCUGGACAAAACUCCAAGAGAAGGUAGCAGCUUAGGCUGUGUUAUAGCUCUGGAGCGAUACAGUGGUGGGGACUGAGGUUUCGCAGUGUGUGCUCUCGGGCAAGGUUGACUGGGUGCUAUGAGGUUGUUCAGCGUACAAUGCAUGCAUUUGCGCUGUGUCUUCUUCAUACUCGCUCAGCUCAACUCUCCACACUUAGUACGUGACUA